GACGUAGGGCGCGAGCGUUGUCCGGAUUUAUUGGGCGUAAAGGGCUCGUAGGCGGUUUGUCGCGUCUGCUGUGAAAACCCGAGGCUCAACCUCGGGCCUGCAGUGGGUACGGGCAGACUAGAGUGCGGUAGGGGAGAUUGGAAUUCCUGGUGUAGCGGUGGAAUGCGUUGAUAUUCACAGGAACUCCGGUGGCGAAGGCGGCUCGCUGGAUCUUUUCUGACGCUGAGGCGCGAAAGCUAGGGGAGCAAACGGG
rnacentral:rRNA from 1 species